rnacentral:rRNA from 1 species
UACGGAGGGGGCUAGCGUUGUUCGGAAUUACUGGGCGUAAAGGGCGCGUAGGCGGCGCGAUAAGUUGGGCGUGAAAGGCCCGGGCUCAACCCGGGGACUGCGCUUGAUACUGUCGCGCUGUGAGUCCGGGAGAGGAUGGCGGAAUUCCCAGUGUAGAGGUGAAUUCGUAGAUAUUGGGAAGAACACCGGUGGCGAAGGCGGCCAAUCGUCGGACCGGCACGUGGACGCUGACGGCGCGAAAGCG